GGGCCUUUUUGCGGGUGGCCGUGUCGACUCAUUUCGGCUCAUAACCGAUUGGUCCUAGGUUCGAGUCCUAGUGGGCCCACCA
rnacentral:tRNA from 1 species